rnacentral:misc_RNA from 1 species
GGAAAAGCUAGAUAAACUCAAUUCUUUGGACAUUCCAGAGCAGGAGGAGAUUAGAGAUGGUUUUGCAAAAUCGAUCAUCGUCGGAAUAGAUCCAACAGCUUCUGCAUCUAAAUCAAUUGUUCCACUGCUAAUAUAAGCUUUGUCACAUUCAGGGUGGCCAAACUCACCACAUUCUGAUCCUUUUCCUAUGCUGUAAUCUGAGACAGUUGAGUAAAUGUAUUCCACA